GAUGAACGCUAGCUACAGGCUUAACACAUGCAAGUCGAGGGGAAACGAUAGAGAAAGCUUGCUUUUUCUAGGCGUCGACCGGCGCACGGGUGAGUAACGCGUAUCCAACCUGCCCAUCACUUGGGGAUAACCUUGCGAAAGUAAGACUAAUACCCAAUGACGUCUCUAGAAGACAUCUGAAGGAGAUUAAAGAUUUAUCGGUGAUGGAUGGGGAUGCGUCUGAUUAGCUUGUUGGCGGGGUAACGGCCCACCAAGGCGACGAUCAGUAGGGGUUCUGAGAGGAAGGCCCCCCACAUUGGAACUGAGACACGGUCCAAACUCCUACGGGAGGCAGCAGUGAGGAAUAUUGGUCAAUGGACGAGAGUCUGAACCAGCCAAGUAGCGUGCAGGAUGACGGCCCUAUGGGUUGUAAACUGCUUUUUAUAAGGGAAUAAAGUGAGUCUCGUGAGACUUUUUGCAUGUACCUUAUGAAUAAGGACCGGCUAAUUCCGUGCCAGCAGCCG
rnacentral:rRNA from 1 species